GAUGAACGCUGGCGGCGUGCCUAAUACAUGCAAGUAGAACGCUGAAGGAGGAGCUUGCUCUUCUGGAUGAGUUGCGAACGGGUGAGUAACGCGUAGGUAACCUGCCUGGUAGCGGGGGAUAACUAUUGGAAACGAUAGCUAAUACCGCAUGACAACAGUUAUUGCAUGAUAACUGUUUAAAAGGGGCAACUGCUCCACUACCAGAUGGACCUGCGUUGUAUUAGCUAGUUGGUGAGGUAACGGCUCACCAAGGCGACGAUACAUAGCCGACCUGAGAGGGGGAUCGGCCAAACUGGGACUGAGACACGGCCCAGACUCCUAAGGGAGGCAGCAGUAGGGAAUCUUCGGCAAUGGACGGAAGUCUGACCGAGCAACGCCGCGGGAGUGAAGAAGGGUUUCGGAUCGUAAAGCUCUGUUGUAAGAGAAGAACGAGUGUGAGAGUGGAAAGUUCACACUGUGACGGUAGCUUACCAGAAAGGGACGGCUAACUACGUG
rnacentral:rRNA from 1 species